AUGAGUUCCCAAAUUAAAAAGGGGAUGGAGAAGGGAAGAGAAAUAAGAAUGGAGAGGGGAAGAAAAAUGUGGGAGGACCGAAAAAGCCUCGCACCUGCAGGACAUGUAACCAGGUUGGCUUCCAUGACAGUCGUAGUUGCCCCCAAAAGAAUCAACAAUAAUAAAGGUAGUUAUCAUACACACAAAAUAGCUAUAUUAUUUCAUAAUUUGUAUGCUCAUUCUGACUGUUUUUUUAUGUUUAUCUGCAGGUUCCUUAAUUUCGAUUCGAGGCAACCACUUGUUUUUAUUUUGGGCAGUACAAGAUUGAAGUCCAAGCCUCAAUAUUUUCUUCUCUGA
rnacentral:rRNA from 1 species